GAGUCCACGCUGGUCCAUCCGCUGUACUACGGCGUGCCGGUGAGCGUCACCUGGUCGACGGGCCUGCUGCUGCCGGUGUGCUGGCAGCCAAAGGCGCCUGUGCCUGUACCUGCUCGAGUAUUGGCUCGCCAGCGUGGACACGUGGAUCCUUGACAUUCUUCUCAUCAUCAUCAGGAUUUAUGCCAGACGGUGGGCCCUCGUUCACGCGUACAGACUUCUGCGAGGCCUGGGCUUCGAGUCCUAUGGAAUCCGACCUGGAUCCGCAGCA
rnacentral:lncRNA from 1 species